GGUAAAAAAUAAAAUUGAGAAUGGAAAUGGGGAAUGUGCCAAAGAGACAACAACCCGACCAUAGAAAAAAACAACAGCAGAAGGUCACCAACAGGUCUUCAAUGUAGCGAGAAAUUCCCGCACCCGGAGGCGUCCUUCAACUGGCCCCUAAACAAAUAUAUGCUAGUUCAGUGAUAAUGAACGCCAUACUAAUUUCCAAAUUGUACACAAGAAACUAAAAUUAAAAAUACAAGACUAACAAAGGCCAGAGACUCCUGACUUGGGACAGGCGCGAAAAUGCGGCGGGGUUAAACAUGUUUGUGAGAUCUCAACCCUCCCCCUAUACCUCUAGCCAAUGUAGAAAAGUAAACGCAUA
rnacentral:lncRNA from 1 species